AACGUAGGAGACAAACGUUAUCCGGAGUUACUGGGCGUAAAGGGCGUGUAGGCGGUUAGUUAAGUCUGGCGUGAAAGCUCUCGGCUAAACCGGGAGAGGUCGUUGGAUACUGGCUGACUAGAGGACGGUAGAGGCGUGUGGAAUUCCGGGUGUAGUGGUGAGAUGCGUAGAGAUCCGGAGGAACACCAGUGGCGAAGGCGGGUAGCUGGGCCAACACUGACGCUGAUGCGCGAAAGCUAGGGGAGCAAACGGG
rnacentral:rRNA from 1 species